AACGCACAUUGCGCCCCUUGGUAUUCCGGGGGGCAUGCCUGUUUGAGCGUCAUUUCUCUCUCAAACCCUUGGGUUUGGUAUUGAGUGAUACUCUUAGUCGGACUAGGCGUUUGCUUGAAAUGUAACGGCAGGAGUGGUACUGGAUAGUGCGACUGAUUAUUCAAUGUAUUAGGUUUAUCCAACUCGUUGAACGGUCUGGCGUAAGUUUCUGGUGUCUUUGGCUCGGCCUACAACAACAAACAAGUUUGACCUCAAAUCAGGUAGGAUUACCCGCUGAACUUAA
rnacentral:misc_RNA from 1 species